UGAGACUGUAUAGCUAGGCCUAGCCUAAUAGCCUAGCCUAAUACCUAGAGGAGGUACGUGUAAUGUGUAUGAGACUGUAUAGCUAGGCCUAAUAUCUAGAGGAGGUGCGUGUAAUGUGUAUGAGACUGUAUAGCUAGGCCUAGCCUAAUACCUAGAGGAGGUAUGUGUAAUGUGUGUAUGAGACUGUAUAGCUAGGCCUAGCCUAAUACCUAGAGGAGGUACGUGUAAUGUGUGUAUGAGACUGUAUAGCUAGGCCUAGCCUAAUACCUAGAGGAGGUACGUGUAAUGUGUGUAUGAGACUGUAUAGCUAGGCCUAGCCUAAUACCUAGAGGAGGUACGUGUAAUGUGUGUAUGAGACUGUAUAGCUAGGCCUAGCCUAAUACCUAGAGGAGGUACGUGUAAUGUGUGUAUGAGACUGUAUAGCUAGGCCUAGCCUAAUACCUAGAGGAGGUACGUGUAAUGUGUGUAUGAGACUGUAUAGCUAGGCCUAGCCUAAUACCUAGAGGAGGUACGUGUAAUGUGUGUAUGAGACUGUAUAGCUAGGCCUAGCCUAAUACCUAGAGGAGGUACGUGUAAUGUGUGUAUGAGACUGUAUAGCUAGGCCUAGCCUAAUACCUAGAGGAGGUACGUGUAAUGUGUGUAUGAGACUGUAUAGCUAGGCCUAGCCUAAUACCUAGAGGAGGUACGUGUAAUGUGUGUAUGAGACUGUAUAGCUAGGCCUAGCCUAAUACCUAGAGGAGGUACGUGUAAUGUGUGUAUGAGACUGUAUAGCUAGGCCUAGCCUAAUACCUAGAGGAGGUACGUGUAAUGUGUGUAUGAGACUGUAUAGCUAGGCCUAGCCUAAUACCUAGAGGAGGUACGUGUAAUGUGUGUAUGAGACUGUAUAGCUAGGCCUAGCCUAAUACCUAGAGGAGGUACGUGUAAUGUGUGUAUGAGACUGUAUAGCUAGGCCUAGCCUAAUACCUAGAGGAGGUACGUGUAAUGUGUGUAUGAGACUGUAUAGCUAGGCCUAGCCUAAUACCUAGAGGAGGUAUGUGUAAUGUGUGUAUGAGACUGUAUAGCUAGGCCUAAUACCUAGAGGAGGUAUGUGUAAUGUGUGUAUGAGACUGUAUAGCUAGGCCUAGCCUAAUACCUAGAGGAGGUAUGUGUAAUGUGUGUAUGAGACUGUAUAGCUAGGCCUAGCCUAAUACCUAGAGGAGGUACGUGUAAUGUGUGUAUGAGACUGUAUAGCUAGGCCUAGCCUAAUACCUAGAGGAGGUAUGUGUAAUGUGUAUGUAAUAAUGGGGGAGAACAUAGACAGUAAAACACCAAUCCUCUGCGUAGAUGAUAUGCCAAUGUGGAAGAGAAAUGACACAGGCCAGAUACAAUUCUUCCAGACAUGUGCAACUAUUAGCCUAAGCCUAUCAAAAAAGGAGGAAAACAGGAUAGAUGUGUUUUGAAUGGA